AGGAACCUGAGGCCUCAGGAAGUUGACUUAAUUUACAAGAUCACACAAGUUAUAUGGUUUCUCUCAGUGGAUGGACAGCAUCAUUUUUAUGUUGAAACUUAAAUACUAUGGACAUCUUUUAGCCAUGUAAAAUUAUUAAACAUUUAGAGCUA